GUUUUUGAGAAUCCAUUUUCUCAUUUCAGAUUCUCCUCCACGUGGAGUGGGAAGUCGGCAGGUAUCAUCUCCACUGCUUCACAAGAUGCUUUUUCCCAGAGAGGCAAAAACGCCCGUGAGGGUGACCCGGCUGGGAGGCAAACCCUGUCCUGCCCCCAGCUCUUGGCACUGUAACUUUCUUUCUGCCCCUGCACCCAGAAAUGCUCAUCUGUGUCUACCUCCGGGAACUCAGCAGCCUGGAUGCUGCAUGAGACCCUGAGGGACUGCAGUACCAUCUUCCCAGUUUGUCGACAGGCACGUUGAGGCAGGUACUGGGAUCAGGCUUGGGCAAAUGAGCCUCUGAGAGGGUGGAUCCUUCACUUACGAAUGAGGUCCUUCUUUCCAUAGGAGCAGGAAAAAGGCCGUUUGUCGUAAGGGUCACUGCUGUUACUGGUCACCUCUGGGUGCGAGUCCUGGGCUAAUCGCAUAUCUUGCGGGACCCUGACAACUCCCCCAUUUAUCAGAUGAGGCAAAGCAAGGCUCAGUCACUUGCACAACGCAUAUCGCUAGUAAGCGUUGCUGGUGGGAUCACACUCAGCACUUCAUAGGCAAAGAAAAUCCCAGGAGUGCCGAGGAAACGCUGUCAAGAUGUCAAAAAUACGCGGAAAGGGAAAAAAGGAAUUGCUACGGAAAGAGAGGUGGGAGAGGAACCCAGUCAAUUUCACCUGCUCCCCUUCCUCCAGGAAGAAUCGGAACCGAAAGCUUAAUAAGUGUGGUUGUUUUGAUAUUCGAAUCAUGAGACCCAAGGCAUCGUAGGGGACCUCGCCUGCAUCCAUUCGCCUAUCCAUCCUACAGCAGCGACUGCACCCCUGAUUGUGAUGACGAAUGCACCCCCAUCCUUGGGCUCCGUGCCCACUGCUGGGCUGGGCUGCUCCCUCAGGUGCGGCAGCCAGAGGAGGUGUGGACUCCCAUCCCACGCGUUUAUCCUCCUGCAGCCUCUCGAGCUUGGUGGCAUAGCCGUCCUUCCAGUCCCCAAGCCAGAUGUCCUUGAUGCCCCUUCUCCCAGCCCCAUCCCCAUCGCCAGUUGUAUCAGUUUUCUAUUGCUACUGUAACAACUCACUACAAAUUGAGUGGCUUAAAACAACACACAUCUACUCUCUUACAGUUCUAUAGGUCAGAAAUCUGACAUGGUCUCAGAGGGCUAAAUUCAAGGUGUCUGCAGGACAGUGUUCCUGCUGGAGGCUCUUGAGGGAGAAUCGGUUUCCUUGCCUUUUCCAAGUAUAGAGGCCGCCCACAUUGGCCCCCUUCCGUCUUCAAAGCCAGCAAUAGCUCCGAGUCUUUCCUCCCUAGCAUCGCUGUGACGCUGACUCUCCUGCCUCCCUCUUCCACAUUUAAGAACCUUGUGAUUACAUUGGUCCUCCCAGAUAAUCCAGAAUAAUCUCCCCAUCGCAAAAUCAGCUGAUUAGCAACCUCAAUUCCACCUGCAACCUUAAUUCUCCCCUGUCAUGAAAUAUAAGAAGGAGAUCCAUAUGUUCCGGGGAUUGGGAUGCAGACAUUUUGGAGGCAUUGUUCUGCCGACCACGCCAUCCUGACAGUUUUACCUCUGGAAUCUCUGCAGUCCACCUCCGCCUCGCCAUUCCUGCACCACUCCCUUUCUGGUUACCCGCUAUUUUCCCAAGAUGCCUUCAGUAGCACCUAUCCACUGUUGUCAUCUCUCUAACCUCCCUCUGUCCACAGUCCCCUGGGCCCCCACUCCAAGACAAAGAUGCAGAUGUCGCUACUUCCAUGGCACUGUCAUCUGCAAGGGAGCAUCCUAACUCUCCUUGGGCACACACAGGCCCUCAACCUGCCCUACCCCAUUGGUUCCUCCGGAUCCAUGACCCCUCCCACCCUCCGCCUCACACCCCUGUGCUCCCUUAAUAGUAAAUCACUUCUGGUUCUCUUAAGAUCCUGGGGCAUUUGGUUCUUCCUGGCCUUGGCCUGUGUGGCUCCCAUUCUCUGAACUGUCCUGCCCACCUUUAUUCGCCUCCCCCAGGAAGCCUCCCUGACCCCCCAGACCCUUUCAUUGCCCUCCCUUGGAACAGAAAUGUGCUUUUCACUGACUGGAUUGGCCCAAAGAGAUCUGAACUUGAGGCUGCCUCCUCAUGUCACUGAGAGCCCUCUGGGGUGGGCACUGUGCCUUGCUUGCCUCUUUGGUCAUAGUGCCCAGCAUGAGAUUGGUCACAUAGUAGGUGCUCAAUGAACUCAGAUUGAACUAAACUCAAGGACUUGGUCGGGGGGUGGUGGUGGUGAGAAGACCAGCUGGGCUGCUUGGGGAAGUAAAGUAUAAAGUUGGAUGGAAAAGCACGAGGACCUUGGCUCUAUUUCUGGUUCUUGGGGUGGAAUAAUAAUGACAGCAACACCAAUGGUGGCUGGCCCCAAAGGUCGUCCCGUGCCAGGCAUAGGCUAAGUGCUUUAUGAGAACAUUAUCAAUCAAUUCCCACAACAGCCUUAAGAGGUACCAACUUUAUCAGCAUCCCCAUUUUAGAGAUGAGGGCCCUGAGGCUGGGCCAGGAAGUUAUCUUGAUCUUGGCUGUCCCUGAUUGGAGGGGUGGUGGGAGUUGGGGACGGGCGGCUCUGGCAGAGACCUGCAGGGAGGUUGCAGCUGGCCUGGCCUCUGGAAACAGCCACCUUAAUGCUCUGCCCUGAAGCCUCUUUUUUUUUUUUUUUUUUUUUUUUUGAGACAGAGUCUCGCUCUGUCACCUAGGCUGGAGUCCAGUGGCAUGAUCUCAGCUCACCGCAACCUCCACCUCCCAGGUUCAAACGAUUCUUCUGCCUCAGCCUCCCAAGUAGCUGGGACUACAGGCACAUGCCACCACACCCGGCUAAUUUUUGUAUUUUUAGUAGAGUUGGGGUUUCACUAUGUUAGCCAGGAUGGUCUCGAUCUCCUGACCUCGUGGUCUGCCCCCGCCUUGACCUCCCAAAGUGCUGGGAUUACAGGCGUGAGCCACCGCGUCCAGCCCCCCAAGCCUCUUCUUUCCUCACUUCCUGUUCUCUGUCCUCAUUAUUCCACCAGUCUAUUGUCAUUUUUUUCCCCUUCCCAGCCUGCCCAGCCAGGAUAUGCGGCAGGAGGUUCAUUUUUGAAAGUAUAAGAAGGGCCGCCGGGAAUGAGUGUCUCACGGGGACAGAGUGUGCGUUUGGGAAGAUGAGACGGUUGUGGAGAUGGAUGGUGGGGAUGGUUACACAACAACGUGAAUAUGCUUAAAGCCACGUUCACGGAACACGUACAAAUGACUAAAAUGGUAACUUUCUGGUAUGGAUAUUUUACCACAAUAAAAAAAAAAUGCUAAAAAAAUUGUAAAGAAAAAGUGCUUUGUGUUUGCCGAACUUUUGAGGAUGGGCCGCCCACUGCACAUUUGCCGUUUCCCAAGCGCCUCCCACGGGCCAGGCCACGCACUUCCUCCUUUCAUUCUGGAAACAAGCUUGAGGAGAGAGGUGGCGUCCUCCUUGUAGACGAGACUGAGGUUCAGAGCCUGGCAGGGGCGAGGCUGUCUUUGCAAACCCGACAGGCCUCUCUCUGGUUCUAAGAAGCACGGCAGGGACGGGGUAGGAAUUUGGGCUCAAAAUGGGCCUCUGGGCUGCGGAAUCUUGAGCAAAUUGCUUCCCAUCACUGAUCUUCCUCUUCUGACUAUUGGGGACAAUAAUAGUGUCCUCCCUCGUGCAGGGGGAGGAUUUGCUGAGAUGUCGGAAGGUCCUAGCACAGCAUCUUGGCCACCAUCAAAAAUAAAAUUCUCCCCAGAGCUCUCCACGAUGCCUCCCUUGCUGUCCAGAGGACAGAGGGCUGGAGGUAAGGUCAGGAGACCCGUGUCAGGGUCUCAGCCCUGAGGCUGACUUUGUCUGUGACCUUGGGGAAGUCCCCUGCCUUCCCUGGUCCUCAGGCUGCCCUCUGUAAAGUUAGGAGAGUGGGUAGAGUCAGCAGGGCUCUCUGGUUCUGGUUUUCUGGGGUUUCUCCCGUAAUCCUGGUCCUGUCCAGAAUCAAUGUCCUCUCUCCCACCACCCGCUCUCUGGGCAGAGGGGUCUGGGCCCAUCUCCAGUUCCACCUUUGCCCUCCACCCUGUCUUCUCAGGAGCGUCCAACCCCCAAGCAAGAGGAAAGGGAGGGGAAGGUGAAGGCAACAGAGUUCUUGAUCCCAGGGUAUGAGUCGCUGCCUAACACCCAGACCUGGCUUCUGACAGAAGCGCCAGCAGGAAUUUCCCGCACCUCCGGUGUGAAUCCUGUCCAGCUUCCUGCCAUUGGCUUGAAUUGUUGCCUGGUAACUCUAGGUGCAAAUCACCCCUUCCCCGCAAACUACAUGCUUUUUUUUUUUUUUUUUUUUUCUGAGACGGAGUUUCGCUCUUGUUGCCCAGGCUGGAGUGCAGUGGUGUGAUCUUGGCUCACUGCAACCUCCGCCUCCUGGGUUCAAGCAAUUCUCCUGCCUUAACCUCCCCAGUAGCUGGGAUUACAGGCAUGUGCCACCACGCCCGGCUAAUUUUUAUAUUUUUAGUAGAGAUGGGGUUUCACCAUGUUGGCCAGGCUGGUCUCAAACUCCUGACCACAAGGGAUCUGCCCACCUUGGCCUCCCAAAGUGCCGGGAUUAAAGAUGUGAGCCACUGUGCCUGGCCUCCCCACAACUACAUGUAAGUUUCAGGAUCUCAGAGACACGCUUCCUUUUGCCUGUCUCUUCUACCGUCUCCACAGGACUGGGCCAGGGGGGUGCUCCCGAGAUAUCCCACAGUUUUAGAGGGCCAUUUAGCUAGGAUCCUGGACGCUGGGAGCAAGAAAAAGAGAAAAAUGGUGAUUCCAAACUAUAGGCUUCUGGAGGAAGAACACGUGCAGGGGAAGGCAGGCAAGGUCAGCACUCUGGGGGCUCCAGCAGAUGCCAGGAUGGUGCACACCGAAUUCCUGGCACACGGGGGCUUAGUGACAGGACCUGGGCUAUGGUGGUCACUGAUAAAUCAUAAUAUUAAGAAACUCUAAUGGGACAUCCACAGGUGCUGGAUGGAGAAAGGUAAGCAUUUGGAGACAUUUGACCACGAUGAUAAUUUUCACACUAGGUGAUGUUUUAGGGGUGAUCACUGCAUUUGAGGCACUGUGCUGAGCACUGACAGUCAAAUUUCGUUUACAUCUUAGAAUGAGGCAGAGACUGUUGGCUUCUGCAUUUUACAGAUGGAGGCUGUAUUAGUCUGUUCUCACAUUGCUAUAAAGAACUACCUGAGACUGGGUAAUUUAUAAAGAAAAGAGGUUUAAUUGGCUCAUGGUUCUGGGUAAUUUACAAAGAAAAGAGGUUUAAUUGGCUCAUGAUUCUGAAGGCUAUAUAGGAAGCAUGGCUGGGGAGGCCUCAGGAAACUUACAGUAAUGGUGGGAGGCGAAGGGGAAGCAGGCACACUUACCUGACUGGAGAGGGGAGUGGUACUGCCUACUUUUAAACAACCAGAUCUUGUGAGAACUCACUCACUCUCAUGAGAACAGCAAUGAGGAGGUCAGCCCCAUGAUCCAAACACCCUCCACCAGGUUCCUCCUCCAGCACUGGGGAUUACAAUUUGACAUGAGAUUUGGGUGGGGACAGAAAUCCAAACCGUAUCAGAGACACUAAGGCUUCGGGGAAGCUGUGCCCAAGGUCACACAGCUGGUAAUGAUGCAGGGCAGGUGAGCCCCCAGAUUGGGGCUUAGCCCUGGAGGGUUCUUGGCUUUGCCCAGGAAAGAAUUCAAGGGUGAGCCGCUGGCAUUAGGCAGCAGCUUGUAUUGAGAAGGCUGUGCACAGCGGCAGCAGAGGUUCUGCUCUUAGUGGAACAGGGCUCUCCCAUGGGCAGUGUGCCCAGAGUAGCAGCUCAGAGGCCGUUCUGCACUCAUAUUUAUUAUACCCACUUUUAUUUUAUUUUAUUUUACUUAUUUUAAGGUGGAGUCUCGCUCUGUCACCCAGUCUGGAGUGAAGUGGCACGAUCUUGGCUCACUGCAACCUCCACCUCCCGGGUUCCGGUGAUUCUCUUGCCUCAGCCUCCUGAGUAGCUGGGAUUACAA
rnacentral:lncRNA from 1 species